rnacentral:rRNA from 1 species
AUUAAUAAUUUAGAUGGCCUUUGCUAGUUUUCUAGCGAAUGGUUCAUUCUUUUUUACUGUGAACUGUUUUAAUUUUUCAGCGUCUGAGGAAUGUCUUUUAGCCAUAGGGAUAGGCUACUAGAAUGUUAACCGAGCUGAAAGUCAGGCUUAGGCCUGGUAUCCUAUUAAUUAUUUACCAAAAGAAUUCAGUAUUAUAAUUGUAACAUAAGCGUAAAAAACUUAUAAAACAACUUUUAACAACGGAUCUCUUGGUUCUCGCAUCGAUGAAGAACGUAGCAAAGUGCGAUAACUAGUGUGAAUUGCAUAUUCAGUGAAUCAUCGAGUCUUUGAACGCAACUUGCGCUCAAUGGUAUUCCAUUGAGCACGCCUGUUUCAGUAUCAAAAACACCCCACAUUCAUAAUUUUGUUGUGAAUGGAAUUGAGAGUUUCGGCUUUAUUGCUGAAUUCUUUAAAAUUAUUAGGCCUGAACUAUUGUUCUUUCUGCCUGAACAUUUUUUUAAUAUAAAGGAAUGCUCUAGUAAAAAGACUAUCUCUGGGGCCUCCCAAAUAAAUCAUUCUUAAAUUUGAUCUGAAAUCAGGCGGGAUUACCCGCUGAACUUAAGCAUAUCAAUAA